GCCCCCGUAGCUCAGUGGUAGAGCAUCGGACGCGUUAUUCAAAGGUCGCAGGUUCGAUCCCUGCCGGGGGCA
rnacentral:tRNA from 1 species